ACGCUAGCGGGAGGCCUAACACAUGCAAGCCGAGCGGUAUUUGUCUUUCGGGACAGAGAGAGCGGCGUACGGGUGCGGAACACGUGUGCAACCUACCUUUAUCAGGGGGAUAGCCUUUCGAAAGGAAGAUUAAUACCCCAUAAUAUAUUGAUUGGCAUCAGUUAAUAUUGAAAACUCCGGUGGAUAGAGAUGGGCACGCGCAAGAUUAGAUAGUUGGUAGGGUAACGGCCUACCAAGUCAGUGAUCUUUAGGGGGCCUGAGAGGGUGAUCCCCCACACUGGUACUGAGACACGGACCAGACUCCUACGGGAGGCAGCAGUGAGGAAUAUUGGACAAUGGGUGAGAGCCUGAUCCAGCCAUCCCGCGUGAAGGACGACGGCCCUAUGGGUUGUAAACUUCUUUUGUAUAGGGAUAAACCUACUCUCGUGAGAGUAGCUGAAGGUACUAUACGAAUAAGCACCGGCUAACUCCGUGCCAGCAGCCGCGGUAAUACGGAGGGUGCAAGCGUUAUCCGGAUUUAUUGGGUUUAAAGGGGUCCGUAGGCGGAUCUGUAAGUCAGUGGUGAAAUCUCAUAGCUUAACUAUGAAACUGCCAUUGAUACUGCAGGUCUUGAGUAAAG
rnacentral:rRNA from 1 species